rnacentral:rRNA from 1 species
GGGUGGUAAUGCCGGAUGCUCCAGCUGAUCGCAUGGUCUUCUGGGAAAGCCUUUGCGGCAUGGGAUGGGGUCGCGUCCUAUCAGCUUGAUGGCGGGGUAACGGCCCACCAUGGCUUCGACGGGUAGCCGGCCUGAGAGGGCGACCGGCCACAUUGGGACUGAGAUACGGCCCAGACUCCUACGGGAGGCAGCAGUGGGGAAUAUUGCACAAUGGGCGCAAGCCUGAUGCAGCGACGCCGCGUGAGGGAUGGAGGCCUUCGGGUUGUAAACCUCUUUUGUUAGGGAGCAAGGCAUUUUGUGUUGAGUGUACCUUUCGAAUAAGCACCGGCUAACUACGUGCCAGCAGCCGCGGUAAUACGUAGGGUGCAAGCGUUAUCCGGAAUUAUUGGGCGUAAAGGGCUCGUAGGCGGUUCGUCGCGUCCGGUGUGAAAGUCCAUCGCUUAACGGUGGAUCCGCGCCGGGUACGGGCGGGCUUGAGUGCGGUAGGGGAGACUGGAAUUCCCGGUGUAACGGUGGAAUGUGUAGAUAU